CAAUUGAUUGAUGGUGCUUGCACCUGAUUGAUUUUGGUCGCCAACGAGUGGCGGACGGGUGAGUAACACGUAGGUAACCUGCCCAGAAGCGGGGGACAACAUUUGGAAACAGAUGCUAAUACCGCAUAACAGCGUUGUUCGCAUGAACAACGCUUAAAAGAUGGCUUCUCGCUAUCACUUCUGGAUGGACCUGCGGUGCAUUAGCUUGUUGGUGGGGUAAUGGCCUACCAAGGCGAUGAUGCAUAGCCGAGUUGAGAGACUGAUCGGCCACAAUGGGACUGAGACACGGCCCAUACUCCUACGGGAGGCAGCAGUAGGGAAUCUUCCACAAUGGGCGCAAGCCUGAUGGAGCAACACCGCGUGAGUGAAGAAGGGUUUCGGCUCGUAAAGCUCUGUUGUUAAAGAAGAACACGUAUGAGAGUAACUGUUCAUACGUUGACGGUAUUUAACCAGAAAGUCACGGCUAACUACGUGCCAGCAGCCGCGGUAAUACGUAGGUGGCAAGCGUUAUCCGGAUUUAUUGGGCGUAAAGAGAGUGCAGGCGGUUUUCUAAGUCUGAUGUGAACUUCGGCUUAACCGGAGAAGUGCAUCGGAAACUGGAUAACUUGAGUGCAGAAGAGGGUAGUGGAACUCCAUGUGUAGCGGUGGAAUGCGUAGAUAUAUGGAAGAACACCAGUGGCGAAGGCGGCUACCUGGUCUGCAACUGACGCUGAGACUCGAAAGCAUGGGUAGCGAACAGGAUUAGAUACCCUGGUAGUCCAUGCCGUAAACGAUGAGUGCUAGUGUUGGAGGGUUUCCGCCCUUCAGUGCCGGAGCUAACGCAUUAAGCACUCCGCCUGGGGAGUACGACCGCAAGGUUGAAACUCAAAGGAAUUGACGGGGGCCCGCACAAGCGGUGGAGCAUGUGGUUUAAUUCGAAGCUACGCAUCCAACCUUACCAGGUCUUGACAUCUUGCGCCCACCCUAGAGAUAGGGCGUUUCCUUCGGGAACGCAAUGACAGGUGGUGCAUGGUCGUCGUCAGCUCGUGUCGUGAGAUGUUGGGUUAAGUCCCGCAACGAGCGCAACCCUUGUUACUAGUUGCCAGCAUUAAGUUGGGCACUCUAGUGAGACUGCCGGUGACAAACCGGAGGAAGGUGGGGACGACGUCAGAUCAUCAUGCCCCUUAUGACCUGGGCUACACACGUGCUACAAUGGACGGUACAACGAGUCGCGAACUCGCGAGGGCAAGCAAAUCUCUUAAAACCGUUCUCAGUUCGGACUGCAGGCUGCAACUCGCCUGCACGAAGUCGGAAUCGCUAGUAAUCGCGGAUCAGCAUGCCGCGGUGAAUACGUUCCCGGGCCUUGUACACACCGCCCGUCACACCAUGAGAGUUUGUAACACCCAAAGUCGGUGGGGUANCCUUUUAGGAGCCA
rnacentral:rRNA from 2 species